rnacentral:rRNA from 1 species
GUGAUCCGGUGGUUAUGCGUGGAAGGGCCAGCGCUCAACGGAUAAAAGCUACCCUGGGGAUAACCGGCUUAUCUCCCCCAAGAGGCCCCAUCGACGGGGAGGUUUGGCACCUCGAUGUCGGCUCAUCACAUCCUGGUGCUGUAGUAGGUCCCAAGGGUUGGGCUGUUCGCCCAUUAAAGUGGUACGCGAGCUGGGUUCAGAACGUCGGGAGACAGUUCGGUCCCUAUCCGUCGCAGGCGGAGGAAAUUUGAGAAGACCUGUCCUUAGUACGAGAG